AGACGCAAAAGAAGAAGGAACAGGCAGGUAGGGGAGCGGAGAAAGACGACAUCAGUUAAUGAGGAGCAGAUGUACCAGUCUGCAGGGAAACCUGUGUGUGUGACUGUACAGUUUAGAUGCUGAAAUUCUUGUUCUAAAUGGUGAUUGGGCGUUUAAUGAUUUUUCCUUUUUGCUCGUUAUUCUUACUUUUUCUAAGCUGCAGAAAGAGAAAUAAUUUUGUAGUCACUAAUAACGUGUGCUCAUGUUAGACCACUGAUCAGGAGAGAGUAAAACAGAAGACACUUUCUCUGAAGAUAUAUAAUCUUUACAUCUUUUAUUGUUCUAUGUAGAAAAAUGGUUUUAAAUGAAUAACAGUUCAAAUGGCUUUUUCCUGUAGCAAGUAGCUUUAACCUUCAAAAUGGAACAAAAAAAGAAACAAAAAUAUUAAAACUUCCUUAUAUUAGAUUCAACACAUCAAUCAAGCAGAAACUUUGCAGAAAACACAGAAACAAAUAAAUGCACGACUUGAUCUGAAACAAAUAGGAUACAAAGUUAAACAGAACUAAAUUGAACUGAAUUGGAUUUUUUUUUAAAUAGCUUAAAGUGGCCUAACACUAUUAAUUAAAUUUCAUUCAACUGAACCAAUUAAGUGAAAAUAAACUGAACUGUAAUAAAUUGAACAAAAUGUGCUGUUGUUGACCUAAGUUCAGAUAAACUGAACUGAAAUAAACCAAACUUUACUCAAUUCAGUUCAUUAUGGUUACAUGACAUUACAAUGAGUAUUCUUGAAAUAAGCGUAGUUGAGCUGAAAUAAACUGAGAUGAAUUCAGUUUAAACGAACUUAAAAGACUGAGAUUGGCAGAAAUUAGCUGAACAAUUUUUAUGUAUUUGUGCUAAAAGCAGCUAACAAACAACAUUAAUCAGAUUGAUUUUAUGUUCUUUAAAGUGACGAGGCGUGCACUGAUUCUGCCUCCAUUAAAUUGACUCUGAUUGGACUGAAGUGAAUUGAAUUGCGCUUCACUGACAGUAACUGGUUGCGUUUUGGUCCAAUAAAAAACUCACUAAACUGAAUUCAACUGAUCUUAACAGAGUUGAGUAGCAAUAUAUUCAGUUGAAAGGAACUGAACCGAACAGUGUUGAAUUGACUUGACUUACUAAACUCAAAGGAGCUGAUUGCAUUGACUGCAGUUUUAAAUGAGUUGAAAUUAAAAUUUAGUAACUAAUUCCAAGUUAGUUGAGUUACAUGUAUUUUAUGGAAAUGAACUUGUUCCUGGUUUGACAUGAUUUGUGCUGCAUAAAGAGCUUGGAUUGAACUAAACUGAGUCAAAUGUAGUUCUCUUCUUUAAAGUGGGUUGACAUGUGACUUGAGUGUUGGUGCUGUAAGCGUUUUCUGUUAAACUGAGUUGAAUUGACCUGAAUUAAUGUGAACGAAUCCCCUGGAGACAACUUGUAAAUGGUUCCAAACAUUCAUGAUAAAACCUUCUGGGGCGCCUUCAGGGAUUUAACAUUUAAACGAACGCCCCCUCAGAUAUUCAAUUUUUAUGUUAAUGUUUUUUAAGUGUAAAACCCCCAUGAAUCUUAGAUUCCACCAUGUUGCUAUUUAUUAAAUAAGGAGGAAGCAAAACCCUCUAUCAUGCACAAAUAAACCUCUGAACUUAUUGAUGGUGUAUUCUCUUUUUCCCACGACUGCAACAAUGAUCCCAAUUAACUUCUCUGUUACACUGAAGGGUUUUCUACAUGCUGCUGCACUUUGACCCUCAUGGCCGCCAGGAAAGGUUUAAUCUGCGUCUAAGCGUUACAGUUUAAGAGCUUUGGCCGAGGCUUUUAAAUUCUCUGCAUUUAUUAAAACAAAGACUUGAACAAAUCCUCUCUUCUGAAACUCACAACGUCAAACUAUUGUCAGCUUUUUCUCCCGACGCAUAUAUGCUGAGCCGUCAAGGGUGGCUGUUCUAAAACCUGUCAGGACCUCCCAUUGAGCAUUAUUAGAGCGCUGCUGCAGUUAUAGAAGCCGUGUCCGGGGAGCAGCAGAGCUACAGAGUGGUGCAGCUGCUUUUAAAGGCCUCUGAGAGACUGAUGUGCUGCACUGUUACAUUCUGGUGUCGAUCCAGCAUGGGCACUGCGGAGGAGGACUGGGGCUUUAGGGCUGCACACUCAGCUCUUUUUAAUGAGCAAGGAAAGCCUGCGCAUCACGGAGGCUCCCCGGUACUCACGCCACAAUGCAGAGGAUGUGCCUGUAGCCCUCCUGCAUGGAGGAGGUAAUCACUUUUAAAACACUUGCUCCUGCGCACAACAGGGACACUCACUAUGCAAGUUAGGGGACAGAGAAAAUGGGUUAGAAAACCCCUGGUAGAAGGCAUUCACUAAGGAUCCAUGCUUCUAAGGAGGGCUAAAGUGAAGCGGUAUUGAUGUCUUUUACGAACAAGUGGAUUGCCGCACUUUCUACCUGCAUUAAGGGAAAAAUUCUGGAAGGAGGAAAGUACAAAGUUAGGGGAAAAGCACUGCAAAGAUUGAUAAAAGGGAAGGGAAAGUGUCUGAAUCCAGGCUUCCUUGUGAAGGGAAAUAAUAAACGUCUCUGAAGAGCGUGACUGGGGUGACAGCUUGUUAAAGCGAAGUGAGAGGCAGGUGAAGAUAAGAGCAGAGAGGAGCGUGUGUUGACAAAAAGCAGACUUAAAAUAGAGCAGUGUUGCAUUACGGCUGCUCCUGCCCCACCUGUGUUUAUCUGCUUGUGUGUGAUACUUUUUUUAUUUCUUUCUUUUAAAAAAAAAAGAAAAAAAGACAGACUCGGGGAUGCAGAAACAAAGACAAAGACUCAGCCAUGUGUGCAAAAUGGUGAACACAUCCAGCAGCCUGUGCUCAAAGCAGCUGCGAGUGCAUAUGCUACGCUGACUCUGAGUGUGUUUGAUAACCCGACUGAGUGCAGCUUCCCUGCGAGUUUUGAAUUUAAGAUUUUGCAUGUAAUUUGCAUGAAGUAAUAAAUUCAUCUCGUGGCUCUGUUUGCUCAGCCUCGGUAGGAUCAGGAGGUUUGGCAGCAAAGCGUCUGAGUGGAAAUUGAUGCACCUUUUGCCGUUUCUUGCAUAAAGCUCUGAAUAAUUUUGAACAGUUCCCCUUUAAUUUUGUUUUCGGAAAUGGAAACUGUGUUCGAAAGAGUCAGUCUAGAUUCUGUUGUUUUAACUUUUGUCUCUAGCAGAUUUCGAACAAAGAAUUCAGUUUACAUUUAGUAACCUAUAAGGUAACCCUUAAGUUUAGUGCUGACCAAAUUUUCUUACGGUGCUUGAAAUGUGCCCAACAUGGGGGCAACUAUUUUCCAUUUAGUGGAAAUGCAAACACAUACAGGAACACUCAAUCGGGCACUGUUUUCUUUAUGGUGCUGAACAGUGUAACGCUCAUGCCUAUGACAACACUCUGGCUGGAGAGUCAUUUCCCUCAUAUCAAAAACCUCCACUCGGUAUUUGAUGCAAGCAGACAUGGAAAUGUUUGGUUACAUAUAUUUAACUGUAAUAUUUGUUCACAUUCUGUUUUAAUCGGCAAAAGUUACAUUGUGUUUCAGUUAAAAAUCAACCUUUUCCCCUUGUCAAUAAAGAAUACACACAUACUGCGUGGUAAAACUAACUAAUUCAGUCCCCUACCUCAAUGUUCAGAUGGUGAAGAACUCAAAGAAGUGGCGGUUUUCUGAUGCGGAAACGAUUUUGUUGCGUUGCUCUGUUUCUGUCCGAUCUAUUAAAGAAGUUGUUUUGCAGCAGAUGGCUUGUUUCACCAAUAAUCAACAACGUAUAUGAUCCCUGCAACGUAAUUUAGCAUAUAACCACUUAGCAGUCAACUGGAAAUAUGCAAGAUGUUCGGUGCAAACCAGUGGCCUGCUCAUUAAACACUCUUCUCAUCCAGCUUACUGAGGCUUAUAUCUGAGGUUUAAUUAGUGGUGGUCUGAACUCUCAAGAGUCCUUUCUGUGUGCAUUCAUUUGUGGCUUUGUUCCUUUUAUAAACACUCUCACCUCACAUAUACUGUGAGCCUUUUUGUUAGUACUUUAAAGUAAACUAACCUGUAUGCUGUUCGUUUUAAUUAAAACUACUACAAUCUGUUACACAAUCUACAACCUCUACACAGAUGGUGUAAGACAAUUCAUGUCCCCGACAUAAUGACAUAUGUUUUUAUAGAAUUGUUUUUUCACAUUGUGUGAUCAUCGGGUGAUUUAUCUUCUUAGAUUAUACAAUUAAAUGAAAUAGAAUCAGAUGUGAUUCAGAGGUUUAACCAUAAACUACAAGCAUGUAACGAUCUGAACUCAUGGAGGCUUGAAUGCCUUUCAGUUCCUGAAAAUAAAACAAAAACAUCUGCAGUAUCCAAUAAAGAGAUAUUUCAAAAGUAUGACUUGUAUCAUACUGUAUCCUAAUGGUCAAAAAGGAAAGUUUUGCUUAUUUAUGUUAAGGACAGCAGUUACCACAUCCUAUGUGAGGGAGCAGCAGCAAUGUAGUCUGUUGCUGUGAAAAGGUUUGAACUCUUUACCUCCAUGUCAGGUUUGAACAUGUGCUCUUGCUGAAUAAAAGUCUCUUUUGGUUGAUCAUAAAUUCCCUAUUUUACAUGAAGUUAUUACUAAUAAAAAGAUUUUAGGUUGAUAUUUCUCUAACUUUGAUUCAUGAGGGUAACUCUUUAUGCUUUUCUUGUAUAUCCUUUUAUGCGUAUUGUAAGUGGAAAGCGAUUGCAUAAAUACAAAAGUUUUUUAAAUUAAAUAAGCUACUUGCAGUGCUUUGCAGAAAUACUUUUCUGUUCUCUACUUUUUUUUUUUUUUUUGACAAUUUGAUCAGUUGCAACCACAAACGUCCAUGUAUUUUACUGGGAUUUUGAAUCUAACAGACCAACAGAAAGUAGCCCAUAAUUUGUUUUUUGUUUUUUAUGGUUUUAAAGGUCUGACUGCUUGUUUUGGAUCAUUGUCUUCCAUCUACCUGCCCAUAAACUGUGGCAAGCUUCUCUUCUCCAAAGCAUCAUCCUGCCACCACCUUGUUAUACUGUAAGACUUUUAUGCCACACACACACAGACCAUGACAUUCAGUCUGGAUCUCAUCUGAGCAGAACGAUUUCUUCACCAUGUUGCCCCCCAAGUAGCUCGUGGCAAAUAAUGAAGGUGGAUAUGGCAUUUUUUCAACAUUGCUUUAUGUUCUUAGUACUCUUCCAUAAAGGUCCGAUUUGUGGCACACAACGUUAAUAAUUAUUCUGUUUUAUGCACAUGUACACUUUAUAUACAAAGGAAGUCAUUUUUCAAAACAGUUAAUCAUAUUGGAUUUUAUUGAGGGGUGUUAAGGUAAGAAAGGCUGAGUACAAAUGGCAUAUUUUGUCCUGUGUAAAAUAUUUAUAGUUAUACACUUCUUCUUUCACUUUAUAACUCUGGUCUAAUUUGCUUGGAUCUGUUUCAUAAAAACAAUAAUAGAAUAUUUUGAAGUGAGAAAACUGACGUAUCUACAUGUGUAGGUUUCCGUUAAUUGAUUGGCGCAGCAUGAAUCAUGUUAUAGGCCAGAUCUUUUGAAGUAUCAUUGAGGACAAACUCGGAUAAACCUUUUGUUUGACGUUGCAGUGCCGGCAGCCGUUUCUGGCUGCGGUUCUCUCACUGCAGCUUUGUUCACCUCAGUGGUUACUUUGCAGAUUUAACCUGUGGAUGUUCAAUACUGCAGCUACGGCCAUUCAGUCUGUGCUAAAGCAAUUUUUGUCAUUAAAAAAAAAAAAAAAUCCCAAGACAUUGCAUGUAUUGAACGCUUUCUGUGUUUUCAAGCGUGUGUGUAUUUAUGUGUGUGUGCGCACCAGUGCUGGGUAACAGGAUAAUCAGCACGAGGCGGAUUGCUGCAUUAGCAGAACGCGGUGCACUGAGGUUAUCUGCAAACAUCAGUGUUUUAAGUCCCGCAGAAUAACAAGCCAAUACUGUUAGCUGGAGCAGAUCAGGACAGUACAGCCCAGAGGCCUGAACCUGCAGAAUAUUCAAUAGCCAUCAUAAUUUGUGAGAAAAGGGGGUUCAGAAUCCUAAGUGUUCUUACACCCCAAGGGAAGGCUCUAAAAAUAAACUCACUUGCUGAGUAAAAUUGCUAAAGACAACAUGAAAAAGAUUCAGGCGUUACAACAAAUGGAUCCUUCAGCAAAAAGGUUCUUUAAAUGAUGGGUAAAAAAAAAAAAAAAAAAGAUCACCCACAUCAGUCUCCCUCUCAUCACCUCAUUUAGCUGCCUUCCUCCCAGAGGACCUCCUCUUAGUUGAGACUAAUGAUUAUAAUUUCAGAGGCCCCUGAAAUCCCCCUCGCUGUCCAAUAGACGUUACAGGAUUUGAAGAAAACUGAUGCGUCUCUCUCUCUCCCCCCGCCCACAUGGCUUCACAUUCAGAGCUUCUCAUUUUUAUCUGUUUGCGCUGCAGAGACGACAGUUGGCAUUUUCCUAAAACUUCAAAGACCAACAGCGGCUCGUGGGCAAGCAGAAGUAAAGGUCUGGAGGGACGACGAGUGGAGGAAGUGAAGAUACGGGCUUCGCUUCGAGAAGCCCUUCGAACGAGUCUGCUGACUGACCUGUGUGAUUUGUGUUUCACUUUAUGCUUGCUGCUCUUCAGCUGGUGUGUUGGCUGGAUAUGCAAGCCCUGUCUUUCCCAGAGGAUUUCACGCACGCUCGCACGCACGCACGCACACGCAACACAAAAAAAAAAAAAUCUUCAUUCAUACAACAGCUGCUGCCGAAGGCCUUCAGGGAGAACAGAGCCCCCCUAUGGCACAAGAGCAGAUGCAUCAGCAAACACACUGCUUUUCCCUCUCGCGUAAAAUAGUUGCUUGCUUUAAAACAUGCAAAACAUUCUGUGCCUGCAGAGAAACAGUCCUGAAGCUUUCACCCUGCCCCAAAAUGAGGCAAUUUAAUUAUUAAAGUUACCAGAAAUGUGAAGAUUUUAACUCCACUGAUCUUCUAACCAGCUUCCCUAUCCAUGCGUCAGGAAGCGUCCCCACAGUAUGAUACUGCCACCGCCAUAUUUUGCAGUGGGGUUUGUGCUUUCGUGGAGAUGUGAAGUGUUUGUUUACAGCUAUAAAAACAAAUCAAGAAUGUCUCUUACUUUUACUAAAUUCUCAAUGACAUCAACUUAAAUUUUCUAAACCUAAAAAUAGGUCGAGUUCAAUGACCCUUGGUUCGUCACCCCAGAAUUACAAGGAUCUUUUUUUUAAAAAAAAUAUAAUUUUUAAAAAAUAUGUCAUUUAAAUAUAUAAUUUUGCUCCACAAUAACUUUUUUCCUAACUUAUUUUCUGUGUUUCUUGGUUUUCUUGAUGCUGUUUGAUCACUAAUGCUCAAUACCAAACCUUAACUCAGGAGAGUGUUCAUAUGGAGAAUCAUUUACAUAGCAGAAAACACUUUAUUUUUCAUCUCACAGCAAAUAUCUUGCUUUACGGUAACCUUUAGCAACAAAACUUAAGGUGUAACUUAUUACAAAAGACAAGUUUCUGGAAGGGUGUUCGAGAUUAGAGUUAUCUGUGGUAAAAAUAUCCCUCCCGCCCAUAAGCUCUCAAUAAUAAGCUCCACUGAUUACUGAUGGCACCGUGUAAUGAAUAAAGACCUUACCAGGCCUCAAAUUUAGGCAGCUUAAUUAUCAGAGCGCAGGCAUUUCUUUUCUCCCGUCCCUCAUCUCCUCAUCCACACUCCCCUCUUAAACUGCUAAUAGUUUCAGGCUUUGCCCAUGUAUCAGGCAGUGAAGCAGACAGCCAGAGGUGCCGCUAAGAGUGGGCGCAACAAUUACUUUAAUACGGGCUAAAUUUGUGUUCCCUCAGCUGAGGCGCUUCAAUUAAGAGAUUUGUAAGAGAUUCUGUUGUUUCUUUUAUGAUUUUAGAAUUAAAAAUCUCUAGGUUUUGUUCAUAUAACAAGAAUUAAUAGUCACAGAGAUGUAAUUAUUUCACCACAUCAUUCAGCAUCUCUGAGGGAAUUGAACUCCAGCUGUUUUAACAACAUAAAGGAGGAAAAAUGAAGAUUGAGGCGCCCAACAGGUAUGAGGCAAAAAAAAAAAAAAGUUAAAGGAUUGUGAUUAAACACAGUUUUUCUGUCAUUUCAGCCUAACCAUGCAUGACUGCGCACCAGAUCCAACUUUUCCACAUCUCAUUUGUCUUCAUGUCAUCUGAAACUACCCUUUCAUUUCUAUUCAAGCGAAGAACGGCAAUGUGUAUACAGAACAUCUAAAAUAAGCCGAAAGCUUCAAAUGAAUCACAUCAGCAUUUCCACUUGCGUCCAAACCAGCACUUUAUGCUGAUUGAAUCAAAAUGAGCGCUUUUAAAAAAUAUUCCAUAAAUCAUCUAUUUGCUCGUCAGAAUUUCUGAGACAAACAUGUCAGGAAUACGAUUUUAACUCAGAGCAAAACAUUUCUUUUUGGAGAUUAGUCGUUGAUCGCUUUACUUUUAUUUCUUCACAUCACCUCCUGUUUUGUUUUAAGGAAACAUUCAUUCCACCAUUAAGAUCAUCUGCUAAAUUAAAUGUCUCCUUUCUGCAGCUUUUUAUGUCCAAAUAUAUGUAGAAAAUAUUCCAAUAAUAUAUUUUUUUCUUUAAACAUGUUAGUUUGAAUGAAACAAAAAUACUUUAUUUGUUAUUUGUUGUACUCUGAACAAAGCUGAAGCAGAUGACACAGACAUGUUUUCCUCUUCUGUCAUAUUGGACCCUGACUCGACUGGCUUGGCACAGCCCCACUUGGCCAUCUUGUGCAGGAGAAAGCGAAGAUGUGGAGGGGUGUCCAAGGAUGUGGAAGAAAAUCUGAUCUGACAUUAACACUGAAAUGUCCAUGAAUAAUUUUGUUCAAAAUUAAAGCUUUGCAGAAGGAAAAAAGAAGAAAACACUUCACUAAAGAAAAUCACCGGGAGUUCAAGCUGUCAGGCAACACAGUCGCUACAGUUUUCAUAGCUUGAAACAAGUUCAACGGUGAAUUUCUCAACACAGAGAUCUUGUCUGUGUGACCCUAAUAAACAAGUUGCUGCUGAUGUAGGAUCUGUCAGUCCCUGCUGUUUUGUCUCUCUGGUUAUACUACAUACAGGAAUAUUGUGAUGAAUAAUGUAAUUCAAAUAAUUUAACAAAAAACGGAAUGUCGAGACUUAUGCCCCUCUCAUUAAGCAAUAUAAAAAUGUCGAUUGGGAUUACAGCAAUCAAACCAUUGUUACAAUUGCUCAUCGACUUUUUCAAUGUUUUUACUGUUACUUUGACCAUUUGUGAUGAUUUACUCCAAGUCGCAGCAGGAGAAAGACCCUAAUCUUUAUUUUACAAUCAUCGCCCUGCUGCACAAUAUGAAUCAGACAUAACAAACAACUCUGUAGAAACGGGUUCAACCUUGUGCUAAUUUUGUGUACAUGAUAGCAUUAGCAGAAAGCAGAAAGAAAAGCAACAAUCGAAAACUCAUUUAAAUAUUUCGCCCUCCCUUUAUCCUCCAUGUUAUUUAGAAACUUAGCUCACACUUGAAAGCUUCGAAUUAUAUCAACUUCAAAGCCGACUGCGGUGUAUUUUUUACAUAUUUGAUUUUACUGUGCAUGACCGAGAGGAACACCCACUAGCCAUUGACAGAAAAUGCAAAUACCCACUAAGAUCCUUAUUGAGUUAAAAUUAAGAUUUUUUUGGAGUGUGUUUGCCGCCCCUCAGAUGAAUCUUGUUUUAUCAACGGGAAUAAUUUGACAUGAAUUUUCAAUUUUAACUCAACUAUAAUGCUGUAUUUAAAAAUGCUACUUUUUAUUGACUACGGUUUGCAGAACUUUAUAAUAGAAUAUGCAUAUUAUUUUGCUGAUACAAUUGAUCGGCCCAACAAUCUACGUGAUAUCCUUGACAGUGACGUUCACUUCCUGUUUGUCUGUGACACGUAACCUCCCCUGUGUUGCCCUUGGCUGAAACAUUAUCCAUUAAAUUUUGCAAAUGUUUAAAAGAAAGCAUAAAAUCUUUCAUUUGUAUACAGGUGACCUACUUGAACUUUAUUAAAAUAUCUUACAGGCCAAAAUAUCAACAAGUCAUACCAAAACAGAGAUAAUAAAUUCUACCACUAGCCUAGCACUUACCCUAGCCACAUGAAAACAUUGUCAGCAGGAGAAAACAUGAGUUCAAUAAAAACUGUAAGUGUGUGUACUGAUAAAAUAGCUGUUGCUCUCCAGAAAACUGGAUCCUGGAACAUCAUUGGUGAGUCUGUUAAGUGGGAUGCAGUAGUAAUGAAGUGUGGAGUGUUAUUUUACUGUACUGGGCUGUGCAUGGGCAGUGAAAUUUAACCUGAAAUUGGCUAAUCACAGCUAUUUUGGGGUAAUUCAUGAUUUUGAAAUCUGCAAGAAAGUAAAUAUCUGUUCUUACGUAUAUGGAGCUCAACAUUAGUGCAAGGAAAAAACUAAUCUGCUUUUUCCCCAUUAGAGGAUUAUGUACAGUUACAAAUUCUUUAGUUCUUGCAGUUUGAAAGGUUGGUUUGUUUUAUAGGCAGUUUCAUUGAUUUGGUUAGACUCCUAUUGUUAGUCUUUGCCAGGUAAUCUCUAAAGACUGAGUUCAAUCAGUUUACAGUCCAAUAGAACAAACAGUAAUGUACUUCCUUGGAUGCUUAGGAGUUGUAAAUGCCUCAUUACGUGUGUGAAGUUAUGGCAAUAUGGAUCAUGCAUGUGAUUCACAGAGUUCACAUACGUAACGCCUUAUAAAGUCUGCACAAACACACACAUCGCUGAUUGGUUGCUAAAAUGAAUAAAAGCCUGUGCUGAACAAAAGCCGAACUCUGCUUAUCUGCAAAAAUCGCCCCGUCGAAUAGAAUAAUCAAUAAUAUUCAACAUCAGCUAUUGCUGCACAAAUAAAGCGAUGGCGACUCUGGAUGCACGCAGAAACACUUCAAUUCAAAUCACAGCAGCAGUGGAUGAUGGAUUACGAUUUCUAACCCGUCGCUUGAAUAUUGGUGACAAUAUUUCCCUUUGCAUCAAAAUCCCUCUAUGGCUGAACGCAGAAAAUACCCUUUUCAGGGUAAGGCUUUUGAAAGUUACAUGAAAUAUGUCCUGUCUUAGUGUUUCUGAUAGGAUGAUGCCCUCAAUUCCAGCAGAGCAUUCCUGUAUCUUGGAUUAUUUUAGGAUAACUGGAGUGCCCUCCUUAAUGCAGGGUACUUCCGUCUUGUGGAUAUCCUGACCCAUUUAGGGGAAAAGUGAAGAGAAUGUGUCCUUUCAAACCCACAAGAGUGAAAAGCGGCAGACACUGUGUGUUUUCUGCUUUUAAAGCCAGCAAACAAGGCUUUCCAAGUGUCAUCCAACAUUGCGCGGCUCUCCUUUUCUUUUUUCCGAGCUUUCACGGCAGUGAGGUAUUUCAUACACCACUUUGUCCUGCGCAUUAAAAGGCCGGUCAGUUCUGCAUCCAUUUUUAAUGAAGGACUUGACACGUGUUGCAACUUGAAACAGGCAGAAUACAACAUUUAUUAAGAAUUUAUGACUUAUAAUGCUGAAGUGAGAAGUGAUAGAUUAUAAAUAAUAGAUUGAGUUUGUUAUGCCUGCAUAAGAUAUAAAAUGGGGGGAAACUGAUUUGGACAUUUACACCAACAUUAUUGUACACAAAAAUGCCUCUUUGUUAUGUUCCGGGGUUCUGGCUGCAUGGUGGGAGUUCCUGUGCACCCUUAUUACCUUUUACCACCAGAUGGCGACAGGUUCCGGCUGGAGUGCGGUGCAUUAUUAUCCGCAGCUGUUCGUGAUCAUCCUCAUCAGCGGCGCAGACUUAAGGAGUUGGCCGCCAGUCCAGCGUCGCCUGAGUGUUAGCCAGUCACGGUGAUCCUUUGAUGAGAUCCCGGUUGAAUUCCUGGCUUUUGAACCAUCCUCGUGACGCCGUGGAAAGUAUCCACAGGUUGCCCGAGUUCCCAGACUUACCUCUCCGUUGUUUUGGCAAUUAUCUCCUGGACCCCACGGCUGGCGGCCGUACCACUCCUCCGUCUCCCCGCUGCUCUCGUGCCUACCUGUCCGCUGCCCACCGCACUCCUCCGUUGUUCCUGGACCCACCAAGAACCGAGACCCCGGACAUACUCGGUUUCCCCUCCAAGACUCUGUUCAUCAGCAACAAUGAACCAUUGUUGCCGUCCCUGUUUUUGCCCCUGGACCAGACCAUCCUGAUUCUCACUGAUAAUUGUGUGAUCUUUAUUAAAUCAUUUAACACUGA